rfam:Camelus ferus unplaced genomic scaffold scaffold706, whole genome shotgun sequence.
GUGGGUAUAGCUCAAUGGUAGAGCACAUGCUUAGCAUGCAUAGGGUCCUGAGUUCAAUCCCCAGUACCUCCG